CAGCCCCUGACAGCUCACAAUGAAGGACACUGCAGCAGCCCCGGUCAUGCACCAGCACAUGGCAAGAUGAGGUUGGUAGCGAGGUCAGCCAUGCUGUCAAGGCUGCUCAGCCUCUGUGCAGAUGGCCAGGAGCAACAGGAUGGAAAGCAUCACGCACUCAAGCUUCACAUUCUUUUUACACUACGCUACAAGAUGGGAACAGAGGUCACAGAAAUUGCAAGUUGUCUCACCUCAGUGCAAGGGAAUGAAAAAACAAUAAUCACACAAUGGACAAAAUCAAA